CAGGAAGGCUGGUAAGGCUGAAAUAGAAUGUUCAAGAGAGUGAGAAGCACGCGAUCAUUCUUUCAAAUGUGAGAUCACAGGAGAGGGAACCAGACUGGCAUCUCCAAGGGACAAGGGAGCAGUGUCCACAAAAGUGCUGAGGGCAAUCCUCUCUGUCAAGAGUGAGGGCACAAUCUAGACAUUUCAGGCUCACAAGAACUCAAAUUUUCCCUAGAAAGCAAGCUUUCUUGGGACUUUCACACGGUGGUCUACUCCUGCAUGGCGAGGACAAGAAGAGGAUGCCAGGGGCUGACCCGGAAGACCGAGGAGGGCGCACAGCUGUGACAGCAGCGCACCUCCCCCUGGGAAGACUGCGCAGGCCACGGCAGGCUUGGAAGAGGGCUGCACCCACGUCUGUGACCUACACCACAGCUCACAGCAACGCUGGAUCCUUCACCCACUAAGUGAGGCCAGGGAUCCAACCCGAAACCUCACGGUUCCUAGUCAGACUCAUUUCCGCUGCGCCACGAUGGGAACUCCCACUCUGGUCAAUCUUGAUUCCUCCCCUCCCAAGGAGGAGCGCUCAGCCUCCUCUCCAGGACCAUUAGGCCCUGGGGGUUGUGAGGAAAAUCUCAAAAAUCCAGCUUGUUUUUUGUUCAUCCUUAUCCACGUGUUGACCUAAGGAAUUCAGGAUAUCUCAGAGAGCAAAAAUUUUCCAAAUAUGUCACUGUCUGACUAUUCUGAUGAGGCUGUAUAAAUACGGUGUUACCUUCGGACCCAAAUUUCCCUCCACAUGGAUGUCUUAAUGAAGGACCACCAGGAGGAGGCAAAGGCAUCAGGAACCCAUUCUGCAGAUGGAAGACCUCACGAUCUUCUCCAAGAUCCCCAGAGCCCAUGAACUCAUAUAAGUCGUCACGUAUCUGCAAGAGGAGGUCCCUGGCUCCCAGGGGUCCCUUCUCCAAAAGUGAAUAUUCUCUUUUUAUUCUUGUGGUGGAAGCAGCGUCCGCAUAGGACUUCUCUACUCUGAGUUUCUAGAAGCAAGAGAGUUGACCCACCUCAAUGUAGUCACAAGAUCUGUAGGAGAGUCCAUUACGGAUUGUGAGCUGGUACAUAGCAACAUUACAACAGCCAAAACAACCACCUCAAAUGCCCAUCAGUGCAUAAACAGAUAAACAACAUGAAUGCAGAAAAAGGAAUGAAGUACUGAUACGCUCCAACAUGGGUGAACUCUGAGGACAUUAUGCGAAGUCAAAGAAGCCAGACACAAAAGACCACAUAUUAUAUGAUUCCACCUAGAUGAAAUGUCCAGAGCAGGCCAAUUUCUAGAGUUAGAGAGUAGAUUAAUGGUUGCUUAGGGCUGGUGGGGACAGUUGGGAGAAAUGGUGCCAUGGCUGUUAAUGGGUAGGGGGGUUCUUUUUGGGGUGAAAAUGUUCUAAUAUUGAUUGUGGUGAUGGUUGCACAACUCGGUGAAUAUACUAAAAACCAUUGAAUUGCACACUUUAAAUAUGACUUGUAUACCAAUAAAGUUGUUAAAAAGAAUAGAUCUAGAAAAGAG
rnacentral:lncRNA from 1 species